GAACACCUCCGCUGUAGCCAAGGAGACUGCCGUUAACCAAUCAUGCAUUCCGAUUACAAUUUUGGCAUUUAGUAUUAAGAACUGCAACACCCAGCAUAUGCUUCCUGCCACGCAUGUCCCCCACACUCGCGAGCAUAAAGCCUCCUCUCCAGUCACACCAUAGGAUGACCAUGGUUCUCUCCAAGCUCAAACCUAACCAGCCCAGACUCCCACGCCCCCAGAAAAGAUCAGAUCCGGUCACAGCAGAGUAACAGCAAUUACGCAGGGUCUGCGCGUCACGCGGGCACACUCCACAGGCCUCACAUCCCCCGGAUGCUCCCCAGGGUGAUGGCGCUGGAAAGGAGCCUUCCAUCCUCCGGGCCAAAGGGAAGGUUCGAUGACACAGGUGGCCCCACGAGCUCUGGCAGCAAGCGAUCUUCUUUCUGUCCAGCCUCCACGCUGUCUUCCCAGGCGCUCUGGCGGCCAAGGGCUUUCCCAGCAUGGACGCUCUGCCCUGAAGACAAGCUUUCUUCUCCCCCUGGGCCCUCACAUUGCAAAGUAUCUCAGGGAAGCUACUAUCCAGGUCUCGCCUGUUCACGGUCGUCACACUCCUUGGUUGUUACUGCCUGCUGGACCUCGUGAAGACAGCCCCUGGUCUUUUCUCUCCCAGACUGUGGCAUCUUGAGAAGGUCUUGGGAGAAGCAAGAGGCGGCCCUGGCUCUGAAGUGAUGCUCAUUGGCGUUCUGGAUUCAGACUGGAGGCAUCACACACUGGGCUGCCUGCUGACCU